CGUGAGCAACCUGCCCCUGACUCUGGGAUAAGCGCUGGAAACGGCGUCUAAUACUGGAUAUGUGACGUGACCGCAUGGUCUGCGUUUGGAAAGAUUUUUCGGUUGGGGAUGGGCUCGCGGCCUAUCAGCUUGUUGGUGAGGUAAUGGCUCACCAAGGCGUCGACGGGUAGCCGGCCUGAGAGGGUGACCGGCCACACUGGGACUGAGACACGGCCCAGACUCCUACGGGAGGCAGCAGUGGGGAAUAUUGCACAAUGGGCGAAAGCCUGAUGCAGCAACGCCGCGUGAGGGAUGACGGCCUUCGGGUUGUAAACCUCUUUUAGCAGGGAAGAAGCGAAAGUGACGGUACCUGCAGAAAAAGCGCCGGCUAACUACGUGCCAGCAGCCGCGGUAAUACGUAGGGCGCAAGCGUUAUCCGGAAUUAUUGGGCGUAAAGAGCUCGUAGGCGGUUUGUCGCGUCUGCUGUGAAAUCCCGAGGCUCAACC
rnacentral:rRNA from 1 species